rnacentral:rRNA from 1 species
GAUCCGGCUCAGGAUGAACGCUAGCGACAGGCUUAACACAUGCAAGUCGAGGGGCAUCAUGAGGUAGCAAUACCUUGAUGGCGACCGGCGCACGGGUGAGUAACGCGUAUGCAACCUGCCCGAUACCGGGGUAUAGCCCAUGGAAACGUGGAUUAACACCCCAUAGUACUUUUAUCCUGCAUGGGAUGUGAGUUAAAUGUUCAAGGUAUCGGAUGGGCAUGCGUCCUAUUAGUUAG